rnacentral:misc_RNA from 1 species
CAACCCUCGUCCCCCGUCUAGGCGGGAGGGCGGUGUUGGGGAUGGGCCUGCCCCCGGGCCGGCCCGCCCCUAAAUGUAGUGGCGACCACGCCGUAGCCUCCUCUGCGUAGUAGUAACUCACCUCGCGGGCGGAGAGCGGUGCGGCCUGCCGUAAAACCCCCUACUUUCUCAAGG